UCAGAAAGGAUAGGGGAAUACUUAAGUUUGGAGGACUUCAAAUUAUAUUGGGAUCUCGAGGUGAAACGUUAACAAUACAAUGUUUCCUCCAGCCUUGAUUCCUCAAAAUAUGUUCAAGAAUCUUGCGCAUGGAUUGCGCGAGCUUGUCAGCAGAGUGCUGAUAAGCAAAAUCAACGCAUAAAUGCGCUCAGGUAGGAGAACAGGAUUUUAAAACAAGAAUUAUUUGAGUUAAGGAAUUGGGCAAUUAUUACAUCCAAAAAUUGCUGAUGAGAAUGCAAUAAGUCUUGGUAGAAAGAGUGUGAAUUCAUAAAGUACAUAAACUGAAGAUUAGAACAAUUUAGUGCAUUUAAAUAAUUUAAAAUGUCAAAGAAAUCUUCAAGCACGAACAAAUCUGUUCAAUACUAAUCCACGAGAUUGUAAUUAAAACAAUUUUUUUUAAUAAAAGUAAUGUCAUCGGCGUUUUCGUUAACAAAGGGGACGGGAAAAAAGGAAUUAAAUGCAACCGACAAUGCAGUUUUUUCUAUGUUAGCCUACGUGAAAAGUUCUUUGCCUAUAUGACUAUUGCCAUUUGGUUAAGUCGGUUAGGAAAAAUUUCUUAAAGGAAGACUUUAAAAUUAUCGGUGCAUGCAAUCGAUGGUGGGAGUUAUAAUUGUAAAAUAUGUCUGUAGUUGAGAUGCUCCCACAAUGUGGAACCCACAUAUGUAUGUAUGUACAUAUGUAUGUAUAUCCCAGUAAUUAAAAAAAUGGUCCUUUCAAGAUGGCAUCGACAUGGAAUUCAGGCAGGGAUUAUUACGUACUAUUCAAAUGCGCCAAAGUGACAUACAUAGUAUGUAAUUGUUUGUGAAGCGCAUGAACGACUUAAUCGAUUGCAAUAUUUAUCAUAACAAUAACAGCUAUGAUGAAUUUAACAAUAGAAACCUCGGUUUUUACGGAUAGUGGAUAGAACUAAAAAAUACUUUAGCGGAAUGGUUUUUAGAAACUCUUUAAUGCCUAAACUAUCGACAACAACUGUUAAAAUCUUUAGUAACAGUACUCUUAUUUAAAAAUGAGAAAUGGUUGGUUGAAGAAAAGCUGCAAGAAAACAUUUACCUACUUUAGAAUAAUAAAUUAAAAAAUUUAACAAAAGCAACGGGAUUAUGUAGUACUUAUUUUGGAUUAAUGGCACUGAGUACAAGGCGCGUGUUUGUAUGUGCUGCCUUCAUAAAUACAGUUUGCAAAAAUACGUUUUUUUCCUUGCGUAACAGUUGUUUAAUUUGUUAUGCUUUGAUUUUUUGCGGUAGAAAUAACGGACACAACAACGUACAUAUGUAUGUAUUGAUAAAAAGCGGAACCACGAAAGAAAUAUUAUUUUUAUGGAAGCAGAGUUUAGUGCCAAAAAAUGAAAAGGAAGACGAGUUGAGCGAAUAUACAUAUUACGUGACAUUAAGGAAAUUUCAAACAAAAUUCCAUUUUAUCGGGAUCCGUCAAAUUGGGGUAUUUUUAAAAAGUUAGAUGAGAUCUUCGGCAGCCGCAGGUGUCUAGUAAAAUUAUCAGAAAUUCGUUGUGGAAUAUUUAAUAAACGAGGAACCAGUGGCAUCCACCGAUAAUCAAUCUGGCAUUAAACCUUCGAAUAUCACCACUCCGAGAAGUGUUAGUAUUUUAUAUUAUAAGUAAAAGUAUCUUAAGUCAGAUACUUUUACAAUGAAGAAAUUGUCGGAUUUAGAGAGAAUGAAAAUCUCGGCUGAAUCCAAGAAAAUUCUUACCUUGCUUCAGAAAAUUGUUGAAAAUUCACAAUAAUAUACUUAAGUUGAAUCGUUUAAGUGAAUUCGUUUAAAUAUGAAAUAAUAAAUCUUUGAACCAGAUUUUUUUCAACGACAAAUGCUUGUUGCAAAGAUUGAGUUUAGUUUAGAAGUUACUAUGUAGUUUUUUAUGUAUUUAAAAUAUACUUACGUUAGUAGAAGAUAGUUAAAAUUAAUUUUAAUUGUAGUGCAGUUUUAUUGCACAUGAUGUGGUUAUUUAAAAAAAAACACAUACGUAAUAGAAAACAUUCGUGAGCAUUUGUAGUUGAUAAGAAAGAAAAUUCGCAAGUCAUGUGCAACUAAUUCUAAUUUUCCUAAUUUAAAAAGCAAAUAAUUUAUAUUAAUUUAUUAAGUCUAAUUCCAGUGUUUUCUAUUUUUCCAUAUAAAUUUUUAUUUACGUUAAGAAUUAAUGAGUACUUGUUAUUUUAGAUUAUAUGUGCAAACAUAAAUUUUUAAAAAUAAA